GGGGAAUAUUGGGCAAUGGGGGAAACCCUGACCCAGCAACGCCGCGUGAAGGAAGAAGGCUUUCGGGUUGUAAACUUCUUUGACGAGGGACGAAAGAAAUGACGGUACCUCGAAAACAAGCCACGGCUAACUACGUGCCAGCAGCCGCGGUAAUACGUAGGUGGCAAGCGUUGUCCGGAUUUAUUGGGUUUAAAGGGUGCUCAGGCGGGGGAUUAAGUCGGCGGUGAAAUUUUGCAGCUCAACUGUAAAAGUGCCUUCGAAACUGGUUUCCUUGAGUGCGGAUGAGGUAGGCGGAAUUUGUGGUGUAGCGGUGAAAUGCAUAGAUAUCACGAGGAACUCCGAUUGCGCAGGCAGCUUACCAAGCCGUAACUGACGCUCAAGCACGAAGGCGUGGGGAUCAAACA
rnacentral:rRNA from 1 species